rnacentral:rRNA from 1 species
CCUACGGGUCGCACCAGUGGGGAAUAUUGCACAAUGGGCGCAAGCCUGAUGCAGCCAUGCCGCGUGUAUGAAGAAGGCCUUCGGGUUGUAAAGUACUUUCAGCGGGGUGGAAGGUGUUGUGGUUAAUAACCACAGCAAUUGACGUUACCCGCAGAAGAAGCACCGGCUAACUCCGUGCCAGCAGCCGCGGUAAUACGGAGGGUGCAAGCGUUAAUCGGAAUUACUGGGCGUAAAGCGCACGCAGGCGGUCUGUCAAGUCGGAUGUGAAUCCCCGGGCUCAACCUGGGAACUGCAUUCGAAACUGGCAGGCUGGAGUCUUGUAUAGGGGGGUAGAAUUCCAGGUGUAGCGGUGAAAUGCGUAGAGAUCUGGAGGAAUACCGGUGGCGAGGGCGGCCCCCUGGACAAAGACUGACGCUCAGGUGCGAAAGCGUGGGGAGCAAACAGGAUUAGAUACCCGGGUAGUC